UAUAUCAAGUGGUUGACUUUCGGCUGUGUAGCAGCACAUCUUUCACCUCAUCAGAGCAUUCAACCUCCAAGUCUUGGAGCUAAGAAGGAGCCAAGCAUGGAGGUGGCGGAUCUGCUUCUUGUUUUAAGAGAAAAGGUGAGGAAUGAGCUGAAGAGAAAACAUAGAACAUACUGCCAUCUAUGCUAGGUUGAUGCGAUGGAGGCUGGUGUCUGGCCAGAUGACUUUGGCAGGAUCUAAAAUCACCUCAUUCAUUGGGAGGGCAACUUUGGACAAGGAGGCAGUAUGAAGAAUAUCCAUCAGCUUGUGAUGCGUGUCUGUUAUCUCCUGCAGGGGAAUUUGCAGCUCAUCUGCCACUCUCUUGAAUUUCACACACUAAAAAUCUACAAAUUAAACCUUUAAUGCUUAGACAAAGAUGGUCAUCACAUUAUCCUAGAAGCAUCCAAUUGUGAAUGAAUAUUUGAAGAUUAAAAAGAUACAGAGGAAAAUACAGCACAAUGCCGCAUUUCAACAAUGACAAGCAAUCUCACACACAAGGGAAAAAGAGGGGAAAACUCUUCAAUUUCAAAUUUCUGGGGAAACUUCAAGAGGGUGAGGAAAAUAUUAAGAAGUUAUGAAAAAUAACUUGGACAAUAGUAGGCACAUACAUAAUUUUAAUGGAAGAGAAGUGCUAAACUUGGAAACAACCUGUUUUUUUUUUCCUGUCAGAUUUGGCAUUUAUAACCUGAUUUCGGACUUGACUAAACAUCAAGGCUAAUGUUAUGUGUAGUUCUUUAUGAAAUGGUUCUCUUUACCAUGAAACUGUAAACACAUGCUACUGCUUUCAAUCUAAUUCCAAACUAUGUGUUUACAAUAUCUCUGUAAAGA